GUCUUCGUGGUGUAAUGGUCAGCACACUGGGCGGUGUUCCAGAGGUCCAUGGUUCGAGUCCCAGUGAGGGCA
rnacentral:tRNA from 1 species